UCCUACGGGAGGCAGCAGUGGGGAAUAUUGGGCAAUGGGCGAAAGCCUGACCCAGCGACGCCGCGUGAGGGAAGAAGGUCUUCGGAUUGUAAACCUCUUUCCGCAGGGAAGAAGAAAGUGACGGUACCUGCAGAAGAAGUCACGGCUAACUACGUGCCAGCAGCCGCGGUAAUACGUAGGUGGCGAGCGUUAUCCGGAAUUACUGGGUGUAAAGGGUGUGUAGGCGGGAGUGCAAGUCAGACGUGAAAACUAUGGGCUCAACCCAUAACCUGCGUCUGAAACUGUAGCUCUUGAGAGUGGGAGAG
rnacentral:rRNA from 1 species